rnacentral:rRNA from 1 species
CAAAAACAUUUUUUAUAAUUUUUAUUAUAAAUAAAAUCUGCUCCAUGAAAAUAAAUAGCCGCAGAAUUUUUACUGUGCUAAGGUAGCAUAAUCAUUAGUCUUCUAAUUAAAGACCAGAAUGAAAGAUUUAACACUUAAAAUUCUUUUUUAUUUAAAUCUAUUUAACUUAAACUAAAUAUAAAAAUGUAUUUAUAUAAAAAAAAGACGAUAAGACCCUACUGAACUUUACUAUAGUUUAGCUGGGGAAGCUAAUUAAACAUUAUUUUAAUUUAAACUAUAUAAUCAACACCUAUAUAAUUAAAAUAAACAAGUUACCAUAGGGAUAACAGCGUAAUAUUAUUCUAAAGCUCUUAUUAAAAAUAAAGAUUACGACCUCGAUGUUGAAUUAAUUUUACUAAAUAACGCAAUUGUUAUAAAAGUAGGUCUGUUCGACCUUUAAAUAAUUACA